GAUGAACGCUGGCGGCGUGCCUAAUACAUGCAAGUCGAGCGAAUGGAUUAAGAGCUUGCUCUUAUGAAGUUAGCGGCGGACGGGUGAGUAACACGUGGGUAACCUGCCCAUAAGACUGGGAUAACUCCGGGAAACCGGGGCUAAUACCGGAUAACAUUUUGAACCGCAUGGUUCGAAAUUGAAAGGCGGCUUCGGCUGUCACUUAUGGAUGGACCCGCGUCGCAUUAGCUAGUUGGUGAGGUAACGGCUCACCAAGGCAACUAUGCUUAGCCGGCCGGAGAGGGUGAUCGGGCACGCUGGGACUGAGAAACGGCGCAAAAUCCUACGGGAAGCAGCAGUAGGGAAUCUUACGCAAUGGACGAAAGUCUGACGGAGCGACGCCGCGUGAGUGAUGAAGGCUUUCGGGUCGUAAAACUCUGUUGUUAGGGAAGAACAGGUGCUAGUUGAAUAAGCUGGCACCUUGACGGUACCUAACCAGAAAGCCACGGCUAACUACGUGCCAGCAGCCGCAGUAA
rnacentral:rRNA from 1 species